UGUUUAAACCAACGCCUAGUGCCUCACCCC
rnacentral:sRNA from 1 species